rnacentral:lncRNA from 1 species
CUGACUGUAUCAAGGAGGAAUACCUGGAAUGGAGCUUCAUGAUAUACCUCCUUGACUUCUUCUGGUCUGUAUUAAGGUCCUGCCCAGCAAAUGGCAGCAACUCCAUAAACCUGUCAGUAUAUUCGUCUACACUCAUGUCAUCAGUUUACCUCAACUGCUCGAAUUCUAUCAUCUUCAAUUCUCUUGAACUAUCAGGGAAAGCCCACCCUGCAAAUUCAUUAGCAAACUCCUCCCAUGAUAGACUAUCCACCCUCGGUUUCACAUAGCUCUUGAACCACUCACGGGCCUUCUUGCAUUUUAGCGUGAACCCAGCCAUCUGAAUGGCUCUACUGUCAUCCGCCCCUAUCUCAUCUGUUAUCGUCUUGACCCUCUCAAGGUACACAAACGGGUCAUCACCGGUUUCAA